AGCUUUGCGCAGUGGCAGUAUCGUAGCCAAUGAGGUUUAUCCGAGGUGCAAUUAUUGCUAAUUGAAAAAAGCAAAGACAUUCCAGCAAAGACAUACGAAUGCUCAGUAAACAUUUCAGAAAGAAUGUAUAAUGUCAUU
rfam:Mustela putorius furo unplaced genomic scaffold scaffold00078, whole genome shotgun sequence.